AUACAUUUCUGAUAGACCUGGAGCAGUUAAUGUCUGCUGCUAAGGCUUCCACUACAGAUGUAAGAAAAAGAAAGUACUCAUGCUUUCUGUCUGGUUGUGGCAGCUAAGAUUGAAUGGGGGAAUACAGGA
rnacentral:snoRNA from 1 species